ACGAGCAUAUUUAAACGGUAUAAUCACUGCCUUCCAAGUUGUAGUUGUCAGUUCGAUUCUGGCUGUUCGUA
rnacentral:tRNA from 1 species